GCCGGAACUUGACCAAAUGGAUUGAGGGAGAUGAAAGGCUCUUUCUUGUGCUCGCCUGCUCCCAUAUUCACAUUAACAAACUCAAACUCCAACUCUUUCUCAUAGAGGGAGACGAGAACUCGCUGUGUAGCUGUUGAGAAAGGGCUUCCAUGGACUUUGAUGGUUGCCAUCAUACGCCUUAAGCUGAGAUACUGAUGAAAAACAAAGAGGAAAGAUAAGGCUGUGAGUGGGGAACUAAAUGCGUCUAGAAACCGAGUCUUGGG
rnacentral:misc_RNA from 1 species